rnacentral:lncRNA from 1 species
UAACAAAACUUUAUUUGAAAAAUGCAUUUUCAUAUUAUGAAAGUCUUCUGGAAAACAAUCUUAUUACUCCAAUCUCCUCAUCAACUAUUCUUGGAGAUGCAAUGGGAAUUGGAAAAGAAGUGUAUCAUGCUAUUAUCAAAAUAUUAAAUGAAUAGAAACUUUUCUGAAGAGGAGCUCAUAUCUGUUGAUAAAACUGAUAAAGCAAAUCAGUUCUUUGAGGUUAAAGUUCAUUCACAAUUAACAGAUGAUAUAGACUAUGUGCCAUUCAACAAGCUGAAGAUGUAUGACUUCAUUUCACUCAAAACAAAAAUAAAGGUAGAGAAUCUAGCUAAAAAACAUCCCAUUUGGAGUCUGUGCACUCUCCAGAGAAAAAGUUCUUGUAAAUUAUUAAGAAAAUAUGAUUUGAAGAGAUAGGAAGAAAAUAUCAAAAUUGGAGGAACAUUUGCUAAUAAAUAUGGUAUGAUUGAUUCUCGG